CCGCACACCUGACGUGUACCAACCCGGUUUAAUCCAAGUCACGGUUCUUAACCCCACGGUUCAACGAGUCCUUCACCUCACAGUUCUCCCAUUUAGUUUCUCUCUUCGAUUUGUUACGGGCUUUCGUCUGCGUCCUGUUCCCUCGCUUUCUUCCCUCAGAAUCAUGGUAGAACGAGUCCUUCGCGUCUCUUCCCUAGCUCUCAAAUUUGUCUCUCUUCCAUACGACGUCUCUCUCUUCCUUCCCCUCUGAACUCGUCUCUUCCCUCAGAAUAUUACUCAGAACUCAUCCCACUGAACUCGUCUCUUCCUUCCCGUUGAAGUCGGUCCUUUCUCUCUUGCGUUCGUACACCAGGUUCAAGAAGGGAAACCACAUCACAGUAAGCUUGAUUCUAGAUUUGUCGAAGAGAAAGCACGCACACUCGAUUACAGAUCUGUAGCCACAGUACACUGAUUUGGGGAAAUGUGAGAUGUGAAUUUUUCAUAUGAGCAGAUAUACUUGAUAAAGGAGAACAUUCAGAGAAGAGAAAAUGCAGUUCGGAAGAUGGAGGAUGAUGUAUUGUGGAGUGGGAAGAUAAACUAAGAGAGAGACAAAUGCUCAAAAGUUUGAGGCCGAACAAAAUUUGUGGAGGGAGAAUAGAAAUGUGUGAAUAUUAUUAUGUUUAUACUAGGUUGUAUUAAUUGUAAUAUUUUAUUGUAAUAUUUUCUGCUUGGUUCGGGUAAACUAUAUAGCACAUGUAAAUAGGUGGAUAUUUCUUUAUUUUUAUUGUAUGGGUCAAGUGUAAUGGUACUCCCCCUUGAAUUAGGCAAAGCAAAGCCUGAAUAGGUACUUGAUCAAGCUUUUUGUUGUAGAGGGGGAGAGGUACUGUGGAGUCUGAAAAAUCUACUGUUUUGGGUCACAUUUCUAAAUCUGCUGGGCUAUAUAUAUUUUGACUCCAUUUUUAAAGUC